UGGUACCUACCAGAAGAAGUCCCGGCUAACUUCGUGCCAGCAGCCGCGGUAAUACGAAGGGGGCUAGCGUUACUCGGAAUUAUUGGGCGUAAAGCGUGCGUAGGCUGCUUAGUAAGUCAAAAGUGAAAGCCUUGGGCUCAACCUAAGAAUUGCUUUUGAAACUACUAAGCUUGAGUACUGUAGGGGGUAGCGGAACUCCUAGUGUAGGGGUGAAAUUCGUAGAUAUUAGGAGGAACACCGGAGGCGAAAGCGGUUAUCUGGACAGUCACUGACGCUGUUGCACGAAAGCGUGGGGAGCAAACAGGAUUAGAUACCCUGGUAGUCCACGCUGUAAACAAUUGAAGUGCUAAA
rnacentral:rRNA from 1 species